UACGGAGGGUGCAAACGUUGCUCGGAAUCAUUGGGCGUAAAGCGCACGUAGGCGGCCUGUUAAGUCGGGUGUGAAAGCCCUGGGCUCAACCCAGGAAGUGCACUCGAAACUGGCAGGCUUGAAUAUGGAAGAGGGUCGCGGGAAUUCCCGGUGUAGAGGUGAAAUUCGUAGAUAUCGGGAGGAACACCAGUGGCGAAGGCG
rnacentral:rRNA from 1 species